UAGAUUUUUAAAUUUUGCUUUAUAGAGGUGCCCUUGGUGUGCGUCGCCCCCCUUUGCCUUAUUAUUGUUCCGGCGUCCCUGCAUAUUCAUUCAAUUAUAUCCAAUAUAAGACUGUUAUAAGACUUGUAAUGUGUUGCACUAAUGCUGUGCUAUUUACUAACACUACAGUACAUUGGCUGCCAAUGGCUGGGAUCUGUUAAACACUUCAUUGCCCAUGGCGUCCUACUUUGGUAUUUUACUUUGCCUAAUUCCAGACAAUUUUACUUUUCAAGGGAGGGUAUUGCACACUAAUGUGGGUUAACCAGCUCAAACAAUCACCUCAAACUCUAUUGUGCUGCACUGAAUUUUUAUUUUUUUUAAUUAAUUAAACUCUUUGGCGGCCCACCCCAAAUCAUUCAUCCGCUAGCGGUUGACGGCUUUGUGUUUUCAUAUCUUCGGUUCAGUGCAUGCUAUGAAGAUAGAAAUACCACCAUUCGACUCAG